UAGGGAAUCUUCCGCAAUGGGCGAAAGCCUGACGGAGCAACGCCGCGUGAGUGAUGAAGGUCUUCGGAUCGUAAAACUCUGUUAUCAGGGAAGAACAAAUGUGUAAGUAACUGUGCACAUCUUGACGGUACCUGAUCAGAAAGCCACGGCUAACUACGUGCCAGCAGCCGCGGUAAUACGUAGGUGGCAAGCGUUAUCCGGAAUUAUUGGGCGUAAAGCGCGCGUAGGCGGUUUUUUAAGUCUGAUGUGAAAGCCCACGGCUCAACCGUGGAGGGUCAUUGGAAACUGGAAAACUUGAGUGCAGAAGAGGAAAGUGGAAUUCCAUGUGUAGCGGUGAAAUGCGCAGAGAUAUGGAGGAGCACCAGUGGCGAAGGCGACCUUCUGGUCUGUAACUGACGCUGAGGUUCGAAAGCGUGGGUAGCAAACAGG
rnacentral:rRNA from 1 species